AGAGAGAGAGGAAGAGUGUUUUUGUGUGUCCUGAGAGAGAGAGAGCGAGAGCGAGAGAGAUGGCAAGGGAGGGAGAAAAUGAAAUGUAAGACAGAUACGGAGAGGGAAAGAGAAGAAGGGGGUGUGGAGAGCAAGCUAGCGAGUGUAGAGAGCCAGUAACGCGGUGCAUUGAUGCAUUGCUGCGUCUCAGGCGUGCUCUUUCGGCAGGACAUAGCCCAGGGUUUUUGGCUGCGGCAGGCUGCCUGUUUUCCAGCAUCCAAUUGAGCCAGACCUGGAAUAGGGAUAUACGUGUGAACGGAGUUGCCGCGGAUGAGCAGUGCUGGACGAGUGAGGUGGCGAGUCUCUGUGCUGUGUGUGCGUGUGUGUUCACCCCCUCUUCUCCUGAGAUCCAGCAGACUGGCAUGAUUUGCUGGUGGUGUGGCCCUGGCUGCUGCUCGGACUGUCUCUCAUCCUCAGUGCCAUCACACCACCCUUCGGCUUUUUCUCAUCGACACACUCUCCACCUCUGCGGCUUUUGUCGCCAAGCUGUAAUAUGGACGUACGGACCUUUGCUUUAAUAUUACCAUCCAUCCAUCUCCUCUCCUGUCCACCUCUCCUCUCUUUCAUUCUUCCUCUUUCGUUUCACAAGAACAGCCUUCCAGUCAACAUGACUGUAUGACUCCCUUUUUCUAGCCUAUCAAAUCUGCAUGAUUUUGUCAGCAGGUCUAGCAACAAAAGUUGAAAUCUGAGAUUUCUCUCUCUUACUUUCUCUCACCCACUUUCUUUGUUGAGCAGGCUAUGAGAGAACUGUGAUCGGCUUCAUCCUCAUCCUCGCACCAGGCUCAGGAAUGCACGGAUAGGUCAGCCCUCUCAUCCUCUGUCCCGGACUAUCCGUGGAGCUCACCGAGCAGAACAGUAUUCCUUUCACUGCACUCAGCAGGUAAACGCACACGGACAGAUGUCCAUUGGAGCGAGACUUCCCAGCAGUCUCAGGCGGGCGGAGCGAGGGGCGUUACUGCUCCGUGAGCGAGAUGAUGCGAGCACCAUUGCUACCUGUUUCGAAAACAAGAAGAAAAGAGGGGGGAAGAGAGAGGCAGGGCACAAGGACAAAGCUGGGAGCGGAGCAGCAGAACACAGUGUCUGUUGUAUAUGGGUGCAGGCUUGGCACAAACAGUGGCUUUUCUGUAAAACUAUCCCAUUCCUCCCAGGCCUCUGACUGGGCUCUCAAUACUGCCUUUGUCCUUUAACAUCACCAGUGACAUUGAGAAGCCAAAUCUAGCAACACCUGCCCCCUCGCAGCCUCUCUAGCACACUCAGUCCGAUGCACAGCCCAGGUUCAUGCCGAAAAGGACGUAUGGAGUUUAUUUUGUUAACUAGCUGCGAUAUGGGAAUGGGAUCAGCUCUGAAAAGUGAUGUUUUUCCCUGAAAAAGAGUCCCAAAUCUCGUUUUCCUUAAACUUUGCUGUCUCAUCUUUAAAGGCAGGAUAUGCUGCAUAAUUGAUGAGUGACUCUUUUUAAAUCUAUUAAAAGAAAUGAUUCCAGUAUUUAUAGGGAGUCCCAGUCCAAAUCAAAUAUUCGAUGCCGUCAUAAGGUUGCUCGCUGAGACACUUUGCAGUUCGGCUGAAAGUAUACUUGCAUAUUGAAUGUCUUGUGUCCUUCAUGCUAUGUUAUGAAUAAAAGUUUUUCACAGAAAAGUCGCAGAAGACCAAGGACAAACUAAAUUCAAUUAUAUUUUAUCAGUGACGCUUUUCACAACAAAAUUUUUUAAAUGGUCUUUACGGAGUGCCAAGAAUGUAUUAAAGUCCAAGGUUGCUUGGAAGAAAAAAAAUUUUAAAUAAUAAGAAAAUUAAAUCUCUUUUUUUUUUUUGUACACGGAAGAAUGGCACAAGGGAAUACAUACCUUUACUUCAGUUAAAAGGGCUAUUUUUCCAAUAAAUAGCUGAGGAAAUUCAAUGGAAUAUGGUGUAGUGCCAGAUGUUCAGCAUUUCUGAAACUGUUGCAUCAGUCUCUGCAUGUAACAUAUUUAGGGAAUGCUUAUACUCUUGAUCUCAAUAUAAUGGAGGAAAAAUUGGAACACAGUCUGAAUGUUUCUUGGAAUAAAACUGUAUUUUCCCUGAUUAACAUGUUAAUUUGGUCUAAUAGCCUAAUAAAUUGCAGUGCAAAUGCAGUGCGAAUGUAAAGAAUUUCUGAUUGGAAAUCUUUUAUGAAAAUGUUCAGACUAGAAUGGCUGUAGGAGGAAAGGGGAGAGUUAACCGCUGUUUUUGCUGUGCAAUCCGAUCUGUUGAACACGGAGGGGAGGAAAGAUAAAAGGAAACAGAAGCGCUGUUGCAGUCUGUCUACAGGAAGAGCCUGAUUAGAGGUGAGCCUGCAGCAGGCACAUUGGCUGAGGAACCAGCCAAUCACGAGGGCAGCCAGGGAGGGCAAAGUCCUUUGCCUGUGGCAAAACAUCUCUGUGUGUCACUUCACUCUUGUUGAACACAAUGUGUCCAGUAUCAACCAAAUACCUAAUUACAAUAUGAAUUCACCUCAUGUAAUUCAUGUUACAUGUAACACGUACUUUGAACAUUUCAGGUCACGUACUCUCAGCGCAUGUAUUAUUAAUGGAUUUAAUGGCUUACUGGUGUUUCUUGUAAUAUGCAUGCUCAUGAACAUUAAUAAAGCAAAUACACAUGUUUAGGAAUGUACUUGAACUCUGAAGGAAUUAAAGACACAAUGGUCCCUGUAUAUCAUGCAGUUUUGACAGGGCUUGCAGACAUUAUAAAUAUAUAGUUCAUUCAUGAAACUCUAGAUGGUGCAGGCGACGGGUUGUUAACAUAACCGAUGAUAUUCAGAGAGUUAAACGACUUGGCACAUGCAUAUGCAGCCAAUGAGCUUACUGCCUUGCAUUUAUAUGGCUGGCUAGCAUUCACUAGAGAUUCCUGCACCACGCUUUCAGAGUUUCUAUGACACCCUCCACCUUCCCCAGCUCCACCUGUAUAGAUCUGCUACGGGUUAUUUUAUAUGCUAUUUGUGCAGUAGCAGUAUGUCUUAAAUACUCAUGGCUCUGUAUCGCCAUAUGCAUUGGCAGUAGCAAGUUCCUGUACUCGCUUGCAGCAGCAGCAAUAAUCUACAACUACAGCAAUAACCAACAGCAGCAGCAAUUCAGCAGCAGCGUAGCAGAUCUAUUCCGCCAAGACCAAAUACAUUAACAUUGUCAUAUCCAUCAUCACCAUGCUAAAAUCUUCCGAGAGUUGUCAUGAUUGAAUUAGGUCUUUAUGAGUGUUUCUUCAACUAUGGGCACACAUCCCAGGAGUUGAUUUUCAAUAACAGCUUUAUUUAUUUAUUUAUUUGUAAUUUUAAGUUCACAUUAAAAUCUUUGAUACUUUUUUAUACCAUGC
rnacentral:lncRNA from 1 species